rnacentral:sRNA from 1 species
AUGGCUGUCGUCAGCUCGUGUCGUGAGAUGUUGGGUUAAGUCCCGCAACGAGCGCAACCCUCGUCCUAUGUUGCCAGCGAGUAAUGUCGGGGACUCAUAGGAGACUGCCGGGGUCAACUCGGAGGAAGGUGGGGAUGACGUCAGGUCAUCAUGCCCCUUACGUCCAGGGCUGCACACAUGCUACAAUGGCCGGUACAAAGGGCUGCUAUCCCGCGAGGGUGAGCGAAUCCCAAAAAGCCGGUCUCAGUUCGGAUCGUAGUCUGCAACUCGACUACGUGAAGUCGGAGUCGCUAGUAAUCCCGGAUCAGCAACGCCGGGGUGAAUACGUUCCCGGGCCUUGUACACACCGCCCGUCACACCACGAAAGUCGGUAACACCCGAAGCCAGUGGCCCAACCGCAAGGAGGGAGCUGUCGAAGGUGGGAUCGGUGAUUGGGGUGAAGUCGUAACAAGGUAGCCGUACCGGAAGGUGCGGCUGGAUCACCUCCUUUCUAAGGAGUACCUGCUCAGACGCCGGGUCCUUUUUGGAUUCAGUGUCUGAGAACUCCCAGUUGAUCACUAGCCAGUUGACAUCCUGUCCGUCAGGUCAUGGUCGAAGAUUUCGGUCUCCCAUGGCCCGCCGGCGAGAUGCCUAAGUAAUCCUCUGUUCCGUUUUCUGGGGGCGCCGCAGCGCGGCGUCCCCGGCGUGUCGUGGGCCCUUUGUGUGCCCGGCGCCCCUUGAGAACUCCAUAGCGAGCACGAGCAUCUUUGUUUACCAAGCUACAAAGAGCCAACGGUGGAUGCCUUGGCGCCUGAAGCCGAUGAGGGACGUGGGUGGCUGCGAAAAGCCACGGGGAGCUGCCUACCAAGCUUUGAUCCGUGGAUAUCCGAAUGGGGAAACC